rnacentral:rRNA from 1 species
AUUGAACGCUGGCGGAAUGCUUUACACAUGCAAGUCGAACGGCAGCAUAGGUGCUUGCACCUGAUGGCGAGUGGCGAACGGGUGAGUAAUACAUCGGAACGUGCCCAGUCGUGGGGGAUAACGUAGCGAAAGUUACGCUAAUACCGCAUACGAUCUAAGGAUGAAAGCGGGGGACCGUAAGGCCUCGCGCGAUUGGAGCGGCCGAUGUCAGAUUAGGUAGUUGGUGAGGUAAGGCUCACCAAGCCGACGAUCUGUAGCUGGUCUGAGAGGACGCGCAGCCGCACGGGGACGGAGACACGCCCCAGACUCCUACGGGGGGCAGCAGUGGGGAAUUUUGGACAAUGGACGCAAGUCUGAUCCAGCCAUUCCGCGGGCAGGACGAAGGCCUUCGGGUUGUAGACUGUUUUUGUACGGAACGAAAAAGCUCUUACUAAUACUAGGAGUCCAUGACGGUACCGUAAGAAUAAGCACCGGCUAACUACGUGCCAGCCGCCGCCGUAA